CCUACGGGAGGUAGCAGUGAGGAAUAUUGGUCAAUGGCCGAGAGGCUGAACCAGCCAAGUCGCGUGAGGGAAGACGGCCCUACGGGUUGUAAACCUCUUCUGUCGGGGAGCAAAGAGAGUCACGUGUGACUCAUUGAGAGUACCCGAAGAAAAAGCAUAGGCUAACUCCGGGCCAGCAGCCCCGGUAAGACGGGGGGUGCGGGCGUUAUCCGGAUUUAUGGGGUUUAAAGGGUGCGCAGGGGGGGGUGCAAGUCAGUGGUAAAAUUGCGGGGCUAAACCCCGUACUGCCGUUGAAACUGCAUCCCUUGAGUGCGUGAGAAGGAUGCGGAAUGCGUGGUGUAGCGGUGAAAUGCAUAGAUAUGAGGCAGAACUCCGAUUGCGAAGGCAGCAUACUGG
rnacentral:rRNA from 1 species